UUCACCACAUGGGAAAGCUCGCCUGGCCCAGACACAGAAAAAAUUGACAGAUCGAUAGCUCUUUCUCGAUUUUGGGGGUGGUGGCGCAUGGCUGCUCUUAGUUGGUGGAGCAAUUUGUCUGAUUAAUUCUGAUAACGAACAAAGCUCUGGCAUGCUAACUACUGGUAGUUAUGUGAUGCCCGAGCCGGG